rnacentral:rRNA from 1 species
GUGAACAUACCUACAACUGUUGUUCGGCGGGCAGGCCGUCCCCUGAAAAGGACGCCUCCCGGCCCGGACCGGACCCCCCGCGGGACCGGACCCGGCGCCCGCCGGAGGAUAACCAAACUCUAUUGUAACGACGUUUCUUCUGAGUGGCAUAAGCAAAAUAAUCAAAACUUUUAACAACGGAUCUCUUGGUUCUGGCAUCGAUGAAGAACGCAGCGAAAUGCGAUAAGUAAUGUGAAUUGCAGAAUUCAGUGAAUCAUCGAAUCUUUGAACGCACAUUGCGCCCGCCAGCAUUCUGGCGGGCAUGCCUGUUCGAGCGUCAUUUCAACCCUCAAGCUCUGCUUGGUGUUGGGGCUCUACGGUCGACGUAGGCCCUCAAAGGUAGUGGCGGACCCUCCCGGAGCCUCCUUUGCGUAGUAACAUUUCGUCUCGCACUGGGAUCCGGAGGGACUCUUGCCGUAAAACCCCCCAAUUUUCCAAAGGUUGACCUCG